UACGUAGGGUGCGAGCGUUAAUCGGAAUUACUGGGCGUAAAGCGUGCGCAGGCGGUUUUUUAAGACAGGCGUGAAAUCCCCGGGCUUAACCUGGGAACUGCGCUUGUGACUGGAAGGCUAGAGUACGGCAGAGGGGGGUGGAAUUCCACGUGUAGCAGUGAAAUGCGUAGAGAUGUGGAGGAACACCGAUGGCGAAGGCAGCCCCCUGGGCCGAUACUGACGCUCAUGCACGAAAGCGUGGGGAGCAGACAGG
rnacentral:rRNA from 1 species